rnacentral:rRNA from 1 species
UACGAAGGGGGCUAGCGUUGUUCGGAAUUACUGGGCGUAAAGGGCGCGUAGGCGGCUGGGCAAGUCAGGUGUGAAAGCUCUGGGCUCAACCCAGGAUGUGCACUUGAUACUGCACGGCUAGAGUGUCGGAGAGGAUGGUGGAAUUCCCAGUGUAGAGGUGAAAUUCGUAGAUAUUGGGAAGAACACCGGUGGCGAAGGCGACCAUCUGGACGGCAACUGACGCUGAGGCGCGAAAGCGUGGGGAGCAAACAGG